AAGCUCGUAGUUGAAUUUCGGGGUCAAUAAGUUGGUCGUGCCAAUGGUAUGCACUGGCUUUAUUGAUUCCUACCUCUUGACGAACUGUGAUGCCAUUAAUUUGGUGUUGCAGGGAAUCAGGACUGUUACCUUGAAAAAAUUAGAGUGUUUAAAGCAGGCUUACGCUUGAAUACAUUAGCAUGGAAUAAUGAAAUAGGACGUUUGAUCCUAUUUUGUUGGUUUCUAGGAUCGACGUAAUGAUUAAUAGGGAUAGUUGGG
rnacentral:rRNA from 1 species